UAGGCAGAAGCCUGUUGGUUGGGGCAUGUAGCUGUUAACUACACUUUUAUGGGAUCGAGGCCCAUCUGUCUAG
rnacentral:tRNA from 6 species